rnacentral:rRNA from 1 species
CCUACGGGGGGCUGCAGUGGGGAAUAUUGCACAAUGGGUGCAAGCCUGAUGCGGCCAUGCCGCGUGUGUGAAGAAGGCCUUCGGGUUGUAAAGCACUUUCAGCGGGGAGGAAGGCGGUGAGGUUAAUAACCUCAUCGAUUGACGUUACCCGCAGAAGAAGCACCGGCUAACUCCGUGCCAGCAGCCGCGGUAAUACGGAGGGUGCAAGCGUUAAUCGGAAUUACUGGGCGUAAAGCGCACGCAGGCGGUCUGUCAAGUCGGAUGUGAAAUCCCCGGGCUCAACCUGGGAACUGCAUUCGAAACUGGCAGGCUAGAGUCUUGUAGAGGGGGGUAGAAUUCCAGGUGUAGCGGUGAAAUGCGUAGAGAUCUGGAGGAAUACCGGUGGCGAAGGCGGCCCCCUGGACAAAGACUGACGCUCAGGUGCGAAAGCGUGGGGAGCAAACAGGAUUAGAUACCCGUGUAGUC